rnacentral:misc_RNA from 1 species
UCGUAACAAGGUUUCCGUAGGUGAACCUGCGGAAGGAUCAUUACAGCGUUUCCGCCGCGGCGCCCCGGGCCCCCAAGCCCGGGCGACGUCGCGCGAGACCCCACCCGUGACUACCGGACCGUACGUUGCUUUGGCGGGCCCGCCGCAAGGCCGCCGGGGGCACCGCGCCCCGGGCCCGUGCCCGCCAGAGGUACACUGGAACUCUUUCUGUGAACUGGCCGUCUGAGGAGAAUUUUGAAUCGUUAAAACUUUCAACAAUGGAUCUCUUGGUUCCGGCAUCGAUGAAGAACGCAGCGAAAUGCGAUAAGUAAUGUGAAUUGCAGAAUUCCGUGAAUCAUCGAAUCUUUGAACGCACAUUGCGCCCCCUGGUAUUCCGGGGGGCAUGCCUGUCCGAGCGUCAUUGCAACCCUCAAGCGCGGCUUGUGUGUUGGGUCUCGUCCCCCCCGGACGGGCCCGAAAGGCAGUGGCGGCGUCCCGACACGGUGCCCGAGCGUAUGGGAACUCUCUUCCGCUCGAGCAGGCCCGGUCGGCGCUGGUCGAACCUCUCAUUUUUUACCGGUUGACCUCGGAUCAGGUAGGGAUACCCGCUGAACCUAAGCAUAUCA